rnacentral:rRNA from 1 species
GCAAGUCGAACGAGAACGGGAUUGCUUGCAAUCCUUAUUAAAGUGGCGCACGGGUGAGUAACACGUGGAUAACCUACCUAAGGUUCUGGAACAACAUUGCGAAAGCGAUGCUAAUACCGGAUGAGAUAUUUUACUCUUCGGAGUUUGAUAUGAAAGAGUGCCUCUAUUUAUAAGCAUUUGACAUUAGAUGGGUCCGCGGAUCAUUAGCUUGUUGGUGGGGUAAUGGCCUACCAAGGCAACGAUGAUUAGCUGGUCUGAGAGGAUGAUC